rnacentral:rRNA from 1 species
UAUAGUCAAGUAAUUAAGUGCAUGUGGUCGAUGCCUUGGCAGUCAGAGGCGAUGAAAGACGUGAUAGCCUGCGAUAAGCUUCGGGGAGCUGGCAAAUAAGCUUUGAUCCGGAGAUUUCUGAAUGGGGAAACCCACCUA